rnacentral:rRNA from 1 species
UUUAAACAUGCAGUCGAACGGUGAAGCAGGAGCUUGCUCUUGUGGAUCAGUGGCGAACGGGUGAGUAACACGUGAGCAACCUGCCCCUGACUCUGGGAUAAGCGCUGGAAACGGCGUCUAAUACUGGAUAUGUGACGUGACCGCAUGGUCUGCGUUUGGAAAGAUUUUUCGGUUGGGGAUGGGCUCGCGGCCUAUCAGCUUGUUGGUGAGGUAAUGGCUCACCAAGGCGUCGACGGGUAGCCGGCCUGAGAGGGUGACCGGCCACACUGGGACUGAGACACGGCCCAGACUCCUACGGGAGGCAGCAGUGGGGAAUAUUGCACAAUGGGCGAAAGCCUGAUGCAGCAACGCCGCGUGAGGGAUGACGGCCUUCGGGUUGUAAACCUCUUUUAGCAGGGAAGAAGCGAAAGUGACGGUACCUGCAGAAAAAGCGCCGGCUAACUACGUGCCAGCAGCCGCGGUAAUACGUAGGGCGCAAGCGUUAUCCGGAAUUAUUGGGCGUAAAGAGCUCGUAGGCGGUUUGUCGCGUCUGCUGUGAAAUCCCGAGGCUCAACCUCGGGCCUGCAGUGGGUACGGGCAGACUAGAGUGCGGUAGGGGAGAUUGGAAUUCCUGGUGUANCGGUGGAAUGCGCACAUAUCACGAGGAACACCNAUGGCGAAGGCACAUCUCUGGGCCUUAACCGACGCUG